UACGUAGGGUGCGAGCGUUGUCCGGAUUUAUUGGGCGUAAAGAGCUCGUAGGCGGUUUGUCGCGUCGGCCGUGAAAUCUCCACGCUUAACGUGGAGCGUGCGGUCGAUACGGGCAGACUUGAGUUCGGUAGGGGAGACUGGAAUUCCUGGUGUAGCGGUGAAAUGCGCAGAUAUCAGGAGGAACACCGGUGGCGAAGGCGGAUCUCUGGGCCGAUACUGACGCUGAGGAGCGAAAGCGUGGGGAGCGAACAGG
rnacentral:rRNA from 1 species